rnacentral:rRNA from 1 species
AUAUUGGUCAAUGGGCGAGAGCCUGAACCAGCCAAGUCGCGUGAAGGAUGACGGUCUUAUGGAUUGUAAACUUCUUUUGUCGGGGAAUAAAAUGAGCCACGUGUGGUUUUUUGCUUGUACCCGACGAAUAAGCAUCGGCUAACUCAGUGCCAGCAGCCGCGGUAAUCAGGAGGAUCCAAGCGUUAUCCGGAUUUAUGGGGUUUAAUGGGUGGGCAGGCGGAAGAUUAAGUCGGAGGUGAAAUUUUGCAGCUCAACUGUAAAAGUGCCAUCGAUACUGGUUUUCUUGAGUGUGGAUGAAGUAGGCGGAAUUUGUGGUGUAGCGGUGAAAUGCAUAGAUAUCACGAGGAACUCCGAUUGCGCAGGCAGCUUACUAGGCCAUAACUGACGAUCAGGCACGAAGGCGUGGGGAUCAAACAGG